rnacentral:rRNA from 1 species
AGCGGCGUUAGUUAGAAGCUUGCUUCUAACGAACCUAGCGGCGCGACGGGUGAGUAACACGUAGGCAACCUGCCCACAAGACAGGGAUAACUACCGGAAACGGUAGCUAAUACCCGAUACAUCCUUUUCCUGCAUGGGAGAAGGAGGAAAGGCGGAGCAAUCUGUCACUUGUGGAUGGGCCUGCGGCGCAUUAGCUAGUUGGUGGGGUAAAGGCCUACCAAGGCGACGAUGCGUAGCCGACCUGAGAGGGUGAUCGGCCACACUGGGACUGAGACACGGCCCAGACUCCUACGGGAGGCAGCAGUAGGGAAUCUUCCGCAAUGGGCGAAAGCCUGACGGAGCAACGCCGCGUGAGUGAUGAAGGUUUUCGGAUCGUAAAGCUCUGUUGCCAGGGAAGAACGCUUGGUAGAGUAACUGCUCUUGAAGUGACGGUACCUGAGAAGAAAGCCCCGGCUAACUACGUGCCAGCAGCCGCGGUAAUACGUAGGGGGCAAGCGUUGUCCGGAAUUAUUGGGCGUAAAGCGCGCGCAGGCGGCUCUUUAAGUCUGGUGUUUAAUCCCGAGGCUCAACUUCGGGUCGCACUGGAAACUGGGGAGCUUGAGUGCAAAAGAGGAGAGUGAAAUUCCACGUGUAGCGGUGAAAUGCGUAGAGAUGUGGAGGAACACCAGUGGCGAAGGCAACUCUCUGGGCUGUAACUGACGCUGAGGCGCGAAAGCGUGGAGAGCAAACAGGAUUAGAUACCCUGGUAGUCCACCCCGUAAACGAUGAAUGCUAGGUGUUAGGGAUUUCGAUACCCUUGGUGCCGAAGUUAACACAUUAAGCAUUCCGCCUGGGGAGUACGGUCGCAAGACUGAAACUCAAAGGAAUUGACGGGGACCCG